rnacentral:lncRNA from 12 species
CUUGAUGUUCUAAGAACACUCAGUGUUCUGUUGUCACAGAGAAAGAACUCCUCUACUGUCAUAUAUUCUCCCUGGCUCUUGACGUGAACACAAGCCCAGUCUCGAGAUCGAACAGUGAGCCGUCCCUCAACGUCCUCUACCCAAAUCUUUGGCUAAACUCAUGGAACAAAUAGUUUUCAUUCUUUCUCUUGAGAUUUUUAGAGGAAUGGUCAUUUUCUGAAAAUGAUGUGACUCUUGUCUCUUUCUUUCCAGUAUGUUAGCUUGUUUUGUAUCCAUGGCUAGAACCUGCAGAGUAAAGUUCUAUGACAGGUGAACAGUUGAACAGACCUCACUGCGAUUUCCUCCUGGGAACCCGGAGGCUGGUGUGUGUUGGGGGAGAAAAAGAGACUCUCCCAAUUCCAUUUGUCUAGUUUAUAGGUGGCAUGUGAGGAUCACGGUGCAGACCCAAUGAGCCCAGAAAUGCAGCCCAGUGGACAGAAUGCAGCUUCCUUCCCCUGCUUUCCAGAGCUCAUCAAAUGGUGCCGUCAUGCCAGCAUUGAUUGUGAUCUUACACCUAGAAACCUAGUGCUUCAGAUACUUGGUCCUUUGUAAUUUUAGAGCUUUCAACACCUGAGAUUUGUAAGUUCCCACAUCUGAGCUCCUGCCUGCGUUCAUCCCUGGGAAACACGUUUUCUGGUAUUUUUCUCUACACAGAACAGAUUUCAGGUACUUCACCUCCAUGACCCCCUCGGAUCAGUGUGACAAUCACUAUUCCCGUUGGAGAGAUAACGGGACUCACAGGGAUAGCAGGAUUUUCUCCAAUAGAGCAGCUAUCGCUUAGUCAACCCUGUUAAUUUAGAAAUAAACUCUUCUUGCUCUCUCCUUCA